rnacentral:lncRNA from 1 species
AUUGUGACAGUCCUCCUAACGAACAACUAAUGCCACAUCCACAUGCACAGAAACCAAGAAACCUAGACAAAUCGCUCGCAUUUAAAAAAAAGUAUAUUUGUGAUUGGGAUAUCGCUGAUGGAUGCACAACAUUUGAUAGUGCUGUUGAGAUCGUUUGCUCAACUAAUGAAGGUUAAAAUGAACGUACCUGGUGGGGCAAGAGAUGUGCCGAUGCCAAUGGGAGUAAAUGAUCACCGCAGUUCUACCGGGAAGUCUACAUCUCAGUCUAGAGCUGUCAAGUUCCAGGGUUAACGAAUGAGUGAUAGAAAAAAAGAGCAGAGGAGAUGGUGGAUUGAUGGAUAGGAGAGAAGAGGGGUACUUUUGGAGAAGAUUCACCUUGAGGAGUUGGUGGACUGAUGGAGAAGAGAGGCGUUGGGAUGUACAAUCAUCCUUUGUCGUCGUGGCGUCGCCUGGAGGUUGAGCGGACAGGGCCCAAGGGCCUCGGUAGAGGGAGGGGUCGAGGGUUAGCGGACUGGGAAGGGAAGUACCACGGGCGCGAUGCUGUCUUGUUGGUCUCCGAUCGUCGCCGUUUGCCGGUGCCGCUGCUGGGCGGGAGGGACGCGGCUGAUGGGAG